rnacentral:rRNA from 1 species
GACGAACGCUGGCGGCGUGCUUAACACAUGCAAGUCGAGCGGUAAGGCCCUUUCGGGGGUACGACGAGCGGCGAACGGGUGAGUAACACGUGGGUGACCUGCCCUCAGCUCUGGGAUAAGCCUGGGAAACCGGGUCUAAUACUGGAUAUGACUCCAUGACGCAUGUUGUGGGGUGGAAAGCCUUGUGCGGCUGAGGAUGGGCCCGCGGCCUAUCAGCUUGUUGGUGGGGUGANGGCCUACCAAGGCGACGACGGGUAGCCGGCCUGAGAGGGCGACCGGCCACACUGGGACUGAGACACGGCCCAGACUCCUACGGGAGGCAGCAGUGGGGAAUCUUGCGCAAUGGGGCGAAAGCCUGACGCAGCGACGCCGCGUGAGGGAUGACGGCCUCGG